rnacentral:lncRNA from 1 species
CCUAGUCAAUAUCCUAUCAAAAAUCAUAAUAGAUUUGUUGUGAUAUCCACAAGGCUUGCUAUGAGGAUUGAUGUGGGUUUGUCUUGGUGCAUAUUAGAUGCUUUAUGGUAUAUUUUGGAUAUGUUGUUUUAUUGUGAUACCCACAAGGAUAGUAUUUUUUAGAUAUGGCUGUAUGAAAUGAAGGGUCUGACUUAACUAUAAAAUACUAUA